CGUUGCGAUUGACAUGAUUUAGUCUUAGAUCUAAAAUAGAUCAAUCCAUACGCGAUAAGAGGUACUGCUCUGCAUGAAACAGUCAGUAAUAUCAAGCCAAGCAACUGUUUUGUAUUUAUCAUUGAUGAAAUUCAUCAUAUCGGCGUUGUUGGUAUACGCUGUUUGUGAUAAGAGCUUGGAGAAAAUGGUGCAUGAAUAAAUUUAAAACAGUUAAACAUUGUAUUACAAGCAAUACAUAUUGGUGUUUGGAACUAAAUGCUCACAGCCUUGUAAAAUAUAUCAACAUUUGUAGAGAUGAAAACAUACCAUAUAUACCUACACUUUUGCACAGUCAGACAUGCGAAAGUUUUUUUCGUGCAGCACGAUCGUUUAGAACAACUGAAUCGACAGCGGUUAAUUUCACAAUGAAAAGUUUUCAAUCCAGACUGAAUCGCAUACAAGCAAAACAAGAUAUUAUGUAUAGCAGGAAUGAAGAAUUUCCUUCUCGAGAAUACAACAAAAUACAAAUACUGUAAACUUCGACAUGCCAUCAACUCAAGAAAUUGUAUGUACUUUAACGAAAUCAAGAGCAUAUGCAUUUGAUACUCUUAUCAGUCUUGGAAUUGAUAAAUUGGAUAUCGAAUUUACAGAUUCUCUUUCAUUACGACAUUCGCGAAAAAUACCAACUGAUUUUGAAUUCAUUUCUCUACAAUGCCCCGGAAAUAGUGCAAUUGGACGAAACUUUGACAUACAUUCGCCAUUAGAAACAAGAAAGGUACUGUGAUUCAUGUCAAGAAAAGUACGUUCCUAUGGAUUUUAUCUAAUGGCACUCAAAGAUGUUCGAGUAAUCGCUCUUAUCGAUUUCGAGAAACAUCAGCAGUCAAUGAAGCAGUUGUGCGUGAGGUUGAUAAAGUAUUUACUUCUAUCCGCUGCGGAGAAUGGAUAGCGAUGAAAGCAAACGAGGAAGUGUUAAUAGUAAAAAUAUAUGGUUUCAAAUAUUUGAGUGGAAACCGAACGUGCUAUACUUUAACUGAAGCUCCAAUACAUGUACCUACAGGUAUCACAGCAAAAGGUGUUGGGGUAAUUGGAAGUUACUUUACAAUUGUUUGUUGUAAAAAGGAUAUUGUAUUAGAAUUAGAUGAAGAAUCCAACGAACGUACUCUAGACACAAAAUACUAUAUCUCUCAUUUGGAAAAGCCAGAAACUCACACUUAUGGCAUAUUUUAUAAAUUAAACACAUCGAAAUACAUUCGUGCACUUUUAUUGACCUCUGAUAAUACAAUAAAUAAAAAUAUGAUUUGAAUGAA